GCGGCACUGUGGGGGAUUUUUUUAAAUGUAAAUAACCAGCAGGCUUAUAUAUAAUGCAGCAAGUGUGAAAAGCAUCACAGGUCUAAUAAUAAUGUAUGUAGAUGUCAGUAAAGUAUACUUUUGCUUCUAGUGCUUCACUUGCCUCAUGAUAUCCAUCAAGCUUUUGAGAAGAAAGUACAGGAUCUGUUAGGUUCUUAACCUAGCAGUUUACCAGAUGCAUUCCUUGAUCAGCCUGCAUGUGUCAAACCACUGAGUACCACAUGUGUCCACAAAGACACCUCUGAGAGGGGCAGGCGCUGACAAGAUCCUGGAGUCAGAGGCUGGGCUGGGCUGUUGCCUGAUUGACUAUGCGACCCUGGAUGUGCCCAUCCCCAUGUGCUUUGAAUUCAUCAUGGAUCACAUGAGGGAGUCCACAGAGUAUGCCAGAUCCUUUUUGGCAUCUUUCCCCAAGUCUAAAUUUCUUUAGUGUCAUUCAUUUUUCUGAUUUUGUAAUUGUUUUGAGUCUAUUAUUGCCUUAUUUUUCUGAUUUUAAAGCAAUAUAAGCUCAUUGUCAAAAUUUUGUAAAAUCCAGAAAAGUAUGAUAAAGGGAAUCAGCAUGCUGAGCCCUACUAUUCAGCAGCAACCACCAAUAACAUUUUGAG
rnacentral:lncRNA from 10 species